UGUCCUAUGGUGUAAUGGUAGCNNCAACAGGUUUUGGUUCUGUUUGUGGUGGUUCGAAUCCGCCUAGGACAA
rnacentral:tRNA from 1 species